UGAAGCGGCAACAGCUCAAAUUUGAAAUCUGGCUCUUUCAGAGUCCGAGUUGUAAUUUGCAGAGGGCGCUUUGGCUUUGGCAGCGGUCCAAGUUCCUUGGAACAGGACGUCACAGAGGGUGAGAAUCCCGUACGUGGUCGCUAGCUAUUGCCGUGUAAAGCCCCUUCGACGAGUCGAGUUGUUUGGGAAUGCAGCUCUAAAUGGGAGGUAAAUUUCUUCUAAAGCUAAAUAUUGGCCAGAGACCGAUAGCGCACAAGUAGAGUGAUCGAAAGAUGAAAAGCACUUUGGAAAGAGAGUCAAACAGCACGUGAAAUUGUUGAAAGGGAAGCGCUUGCAGCCAGACUUGCUUGCAGUUGCUCAUCCGGGCUUUUGCCCGGUGCACUCUUCUGUAGGCAGGCCAGCAUCAGUUUGGGCGGUGGGAUAAAGGUCUCUGUCACGUACCUCUCUUCGGGGAGGCCUUAUAGGGGAGACGACAUACCACCAGCCUAGACUGAGGUCCGCGCAUCUGCUAGGAUGCUGGCGUAAUGGCUGUAAGCGGCCCGUCUUGAAACACGGACCAAGGAGUCUAACAUCUAUGCGAGUGUUUGGGUGUCAAGCCCGAGCGCGUAAUGAAAGUGAACGGAGGUGGGAACCCGCAAGGGUGCACCAUCGACCGAUCCUGAAGUUUACGGAAGGAUUUGAGUAAGAGCAUGGCUGUUGGGACCCGAAAGAUGGUGAACUAUGCUUGAAUAGGGUGAAGCCAGAGGAAACUCUGGUGGAGGCUCGCAGCGGUUCUGACGUGCAAAUCGAUCGUCAAAUUUGGGCAUAGGGGCGAAAGACUAAUCGAAACAUACUAAUCUUU
rnacentral:rRNA from 1 species